GCACCCGUAGCUCAGCUGGAUAGAGCGCUGCCCUCCGAAGGCAGAGGUCACACGUUCGAAUCGUGUCGGGUGCG
rnacentral:tRNA from 4 species